rnacentral:rRNA from 1 species
GGAUUAGUGGCGAACGGGUGAGUAACACGUGGGCAAUCUGCCCUUCACUCUGGGACAAGCCCUGGAAACGGGGUCUAAUACCGGAUAACACUUCCACUCUCCUGGGUGGAGGUUAAAAGCUCCGGCGGUGAAGGAUGAGCCCGCGGCCUAUCAGCUUGUUGGUGAGGUAAUGGCUCACCAAGGCGACGACGGGUAGCCGGCCUGAGAGGGCGACCGGCCACACUGGGACUGAGACACGGCCCAGACUCCUACGGGAGGCAGCAGUGGGGAAUAUUGCACAAUGGGCGAAAGCCUGAUGCAGCGACGCCGCGUGAGGGAUGACGGCCUUCGGGUUGUAAACCUCUUUCAGCAGGGAAGAAGCGAAAGUGACGGUACCUGCAGAAGAAGCGCCGGCUAACUACGUGCCAGCAGCCGCGGUAAUACGUAGGGCGCAAGCGUUGUCCGGAAUUAUUGGGCGUAAAGAGCUCGUAGGCGGCUUG